rnacentral:rRNA from 1 species
CCCUUAGAUGUUCUGGGCCGCACGCGCGCUACACUGGACAGUUCAACAAGUCUUAACCUUGACCGAUAGGUCUGGGUAAUCUUUGAACGCUGUUCGUGAUUGGGAUAGACCUUUGCAAUUAUGGGUCUUCAACGAGGAAUUCCUAGUAAACGCAAGUCAUCGGCUUGCAUUGAUUACGUCCCUGCCCUUUGUACACACCGCCCGUCGCACCUACCGAUUGAAUGGUCCGGUGAAAUCUCGGGACGGCGGCUUGGUCGCUUGCGUCCGACUGCUGAAACUUGAUUAAACCAUAUCAUUUAGAGGAAGGUGAANUCGUANCA